ensembl:lncRNA novel transcript
GGGCCCAGCUCGGCCGGCAGCUUCUGCAGCCGCCACAAGGGCGUCCCCUCUUCCGGCUCCAUCCCUGCGCGAAGCUGGGGCUUGGGUCACGUGUCAAGGCUGGCCGCUUGUCUAAAGCUACGACUCGCCCACGUGACUCUCGCCGGCGGGGAGGGGCGUGGACCCAAGAAGUCCCUGUGCGCUUGCGCAGAGACCGAACUACCGCUUUCCCCGUAACCAGGGAGACUGCAGUUUGCAGUGAUGUGGCUAAGAUACCCUUGUGCUAUUAAAGGCACAUUUACGUAUCUUUCAACGCAGUUUGUACCUUUGUUUAGGGUUCUAUUGAACUUUCUCUGUGCUCUUUAGAAAACCGUCGAAUAAAGAACUCAAAUGAUGCUGUUUUUGGACAGGGAGGUCAUGGACCAAGUACAAAGCGGCAAAAGGAUGGAAUUAAGGUACCUGACAUUGUUGAACCCAUGCCUGAUGCCACAUUAGCUCAGGACUACCUACAUGGACAUGGAUAUUUCCAGUGAAAGAAAGAAGAAAGCAUGCUUUUCUCUUGACUGUGCAGAAAAAAAAACUAUGUUUCUUUGAUUCUCCAUUUUACUAGAUGCCAUACCUUUGCAAUUACUUCAUGUGGAGUCUUGACCAAGAUUCAGGAAAUACUAGAACUUUCAGUCCCAGAAGGUUACUCUGGGCAUUACUAGUCCCCAUCAUUAUGAGUUGAGUUUUACUAGUUAAUUUCAGACGAAAAAUAUUUGUUUUUCCCCAAAUUCUGGGGUUACGUACUUUUACUACCUAUGAACUGACAACUGUAUCUUCAGUAAUUACAAUUUCCAACAAAAUGUUAUAGGAAUAAAGAAAAGAUGUUAGUUCAUUAUUCAGAGUUUAUGUUUAUUCCUUUAAUAAAAAGAAAUGGUC